AAAUAAUUGUGUUUGCGCGCAAACGAAAAAAAAACCGACUUCAAUUACAUCGACAAGUAAUACAACGCAGAUCGACGAAAAAAUAGUCAAGCAACUACGCGUUAUCAAAGAUUAAUCAAAAAGUAGUUAUCAGAUCUCGAUAAAAUUUAUAUGUGACCACAUGAUAAACAUCAGCUUUCGAUUAAAUUAAAAAUUAUCAAAAUCGGUACACCCAGUAAAAAGUUAUUGCGGAUUUUCGGGAGUUUCCCUCGAUUUCUCUGGGAUCCCAUCAUCCGAUCCUGGUUUCCUUAUCAUGGUACCAAACUAGGGAUAUCUCCUUUCCAACAAAAAAAGAAUUAUCAAAAUCGGU
rnacentral:misc_RNA from 1 species